GGAAUUUUCCGCAAUGGGCGAAAGCCUGACGGAGCAAGACCGCGUGGGGGAAGAAGGCUCUUGGGUUGUAAACCCCUUUUCUCAGGGAAGAAGUUCUGACGGUACCUGAGGAAUAAGCAUCGGCUAACUCCGUGCCAGCAGCCGCGGUAAGGCGGAGGAUGCAAGUGUUAUCCGGAAUCACUGGGCGUAAAGCGUCUGUAGGUGGUCCAGUAAGUCAACUGUUAAAUCUUGAGGCUCAACCUCAAAACCGCAGUCGAAACUAUUGGACUAGAGUAUAGUAGGGGUAAAGGGAAUUUCCAGUGGAGCGGUGAAAUGCGUAGAUAUUGGAAAGAACACCGAUGGCGAAGGCACUUUACUGGGCUAUUACUGACACUCAGAGACGAAAGCUAGGGUAGCA
rnacentral:rRNA from 1 species